UGGUCUCUCGUGAGUUCUUGGGUGUCUGC
rnacentral:piRNA from 1 species